rnacentral:rRNA from 1 species
CGCGCAGGCGGCAUGGCAAGUAAGGUGUGAAAUCUCCCUGCUCAACGGGGAGGGUGCACUUUAGACUGCCAAGCUAGAGGACGGUAGAGGGGGGUAGAAUUGCUGGUGUAGCGGUGAAAUGCGUAGAGAUCAGCAGGAAUACCCGUGGCGAAGGCGGCCCCCUGGGCCGAACCUGACGCUGAGGCGCGAAGGCUAGGGGAGCGAACGGGAUUAGAUACCCCGGUAGUCCUAGCAGUAAACGAUGGCCACUAGGUGUGGGGGGUGUUGACCCCUUCCGUGCCGAAGCUAACGCAUUAAGUGGCCCGCCUGGGGAGUACGGUCGCAAGACUAAA